GUUAUAUGGUCAAGUGAAGAAGCGCAUACGGUGGAUGCCUUGGCAGUCAGAGGCGAUGAAAGACGUGGUAGCCUGCGAAAAGCUUCGGGGAGUCGGCAAACAGACUUUGAUCCGGAGAUGUCUGAAUGGGGGAACCCAGCCAUCAUAAGAUGGUUAUCUUACGCUGAAUACAUAGGCGUAAGAGGCGAACCAGGGGAACUGAAACAUCUAAGUACCCUGAGGAAAAGAAAUCAACCGAGAUUCCCUUAGUAGUGGCGAGCGAACGGGGACUAGCCCUUAAGUGGCUUUGAGAUUAGCGGAACGUUCUGGAAAGUACGGCCAUAGUGGGUGAUAGCCCUGUACGCGAAAAUCUCUUAGUCAUGAAAUCGAGUAGGACGGAGCACGAGAAACUUUGUCUGAAUAUGGGGGGACCAUCCUCCAAGGCUAAAUACUACUGACUGACCGAUAGUGAACUAGUACCGUGAGGGAAAGGCGAAAAGAACCCCGGAGAGGGGAGUGAAAUAGAUCCUGAAACCGUAUGCGUACAAGCAGUGGGAGCCUACUUGUUAGGUGACUGCGUACCUUUUGUAUAAUGGGUCAGCGACUUAUUUUCAGUGGCGAGCUUAACCGAAUAGGGGAGGCGUAGCGAAAGCGAGUCUUAAUAGGGCGUCUAGUCGCUGGGAAUAGACCCGAAACCGGGCGAUCUAUCCAUGGGCAGGUUGAAGGUUGGGUAACACUAACUGGAGGACCGAACCGACUACCGUUGAAAAGUUAGCGGAUGACCUGUGGAUCGGAGUGAAAGGCUAAUCAAGCUCGGAGAUAGCUGGUUCUCCUCGAAAGCUAUUUAGGUAGCGCCUCAUGUAUCACUGUAGGGGGUAGAGCACUGUUUCGGCUAGGGGGUCAUCCCGACUUACCAAACCGAUGCAAACUCCGAAUACCUACAAGUGCCGAGCAUGGGAGACACACGGCGGGUGCUAACGUCCGUCGUGAAAAGGGAAACAACCCAGACCGUCAGCUAAGGUCCCAAAGUUAUGGUUAAGUGGGAAACGAUGUGGGAAGGCUUAGACAGCUAGGAGGUUGGCUUAGAAGCAGCCACCCUUUAAAGAAAGCGUAAUAGCUCACUAGUCGAGUCGGCCUGCGCGGAAGAUGUAACGGGGCUCAAACCAUACACCGAAGCUACGGGUAUCACGUAAGUGAUGCGGUAGAGGAGCGUUCUGUAAGCCUGUGAAGGUGAGUUGAGAAGCUUGCUGGAGGUAUCAGAAGUGCGAAUGCUGACAUGAGUAACGACAAUGGGUGUGAAAAACACCCACGCCGAAAGACCAAGGUUUCCUGCGCAACGUUAAUCGACGCAGGGUUAGUCGGUCCCUAAGGCGAGGCUGAAAAGCGUAGUCGAUGGAAAACAGGUUAAUAUUCCUGUACUUCUGGUUAUUGCGAUGGAGGGACGGAGAAGGCUAGGCCAGCUUGGCGUUGGUUGUCCAAGUUUAAGGUGGUAGGCUGAGAUCUUAGGUAAAUCCGGGAUCUUAAGGCCGAGAGCUGAUGACGAGCUAACUUUUAGUUAGCGAAGUGGUUGAUGCCAUGCUUCCAAGAAAAGCUUCUAAGCUUCAGGUAACCAGGAACCGUACCCCAAACCGACACAGGUGGUUGGGUAGAGAAUACCAAGGCGCUUGAGAGAACUCGGGUGAAGGAACUAGGCAAAAUGGCACCGUAACUUCGGGAGAAGGUGCGCCGGUGAGGGUGAAGGACUUGCUCCGUAAGCUCAUGCCGGUCGAAGAUACCAGGCCGCUGCGACUGUUUAUUAAAAACACAGCACUCUGCAAACACGAAAGUGGACGUAUAGGGUGUGACGCCUGCCCGGUGCCGGAAGGUUAAUUGAUGGGGUUAGCUAACGCGAAGCUCUUGAUCGAAGCCCCGGUAAACGGCGGCCGUAACUAUAACGGUCCUAAGGUAGCGAAAUUCCUUGUCGGGUAAGUUCCGACCUGCACGAAUGGCGUAACGAUGGCGGCGCUGUCUCCACCCGAGACUCAGUGAAAUUGAAAUCGCUGUGAAGAUGCAGUGUAUCCGCGGCUAGACGGAAAGACCCCGUGAACCUUUACUAUAGCUUUGCACUGGACUUUGAAUUUGCUUGUGUAGGAUAGGUGGGAGGCUUUGAAGCGUGGACGCCAGUCUGCGUGGAGCCAACCUUGAAAUACCACCCUGGCAACUUUGAGGUUCUAACUCAGGUCCGUUAUCCGGAUCGAGGACAGUGUAUGGUGGGUAGUUUGACUGGGGCGGUCUCCUCCUAAAGAGUAACGGAGGAGUACGAAGGUGCGCUCAGACCGGUCGGAAAUCGGUCGUAGAGUAUAAAGGCAAAAGCGCGCUUGACUGCGAGACAGACACGUCGAGCAGGUACGAAAGUAGGUCUUAGUGAUCCGGUGGUUCUGUAUGGAAGGGCCAUCGCUCAACGGAUAAAAGGUACUCCGGGGAUAACAGGCUGAUACCGCCCAAGAGUUCAUAUCGACGGCGGUGUUUGGCACCUCGAUGUCGGCUCAUCACAUCCUGGGGCUGAAGCCGGUCCCAAGGGUAUGGCUGUUCGCCAUUUAAAGUGGUACGCGAGCUGGGUUUAGAACGUCGUGAGACAGUUCGGUCCCUAUCUGCCGUGGACGUUUGAGAUUUGAGAGGGGCUGCUCCUAGUACGAGAGGACCGGAGUGGACGAACCUCUGGUGUUCCGGUUGUCACGCCAGUGGCAUUGCCGGGUAGCUAUGUUCGGAAUAGAUAACCGCUGAAAGCAUCUAAGCGGGAAACUAGCCUCAAGAUGAGAUCUCACUGGGACCUUGAGUCCCCUGAAGGGCCGUCGAAGACUACGACGUUGAUAGGUUGGGUGUGUAAGCGCUGUGAGGCGUUGAGCUAACCAAUACUAAUUGCCCGUGAGGCUUGACCAUAUAACACCCAAGCAAUU
rnacentral:rRNA from 1 species